AACGAACGCCGGCGGCCUUGCUAACCCAAGCAAGUCGCACGGGGCCCUUGGGGUCCGUGGCGCACGGGUGUGUUAAGCCAGGGGACCCGCCCCUACGGUUGGGAUAAUCUCCCUAAAAGGGUGCCAAUACCCGCUAAUUGCCUCCGGCCAAAAAUUUAUCGCCCUUGGGUGGGUUCGCGUUGGAUUCGCUAGUUGGUAGGGUAAAAGCCUUUCAACGCCACGAUCCAUAGCUGAUCUGAGAGGAUGAUCAGCCACACUGGGACUGAGACACGGCCCAGACUCCUACGGGAGGCAGCAGUGGGGAAUAUUGGACAAUGGGCGAAAGCCUGAUCCAGCAAUGCCGCGUGAGUGAUGAAGGCCUUAGGGUUGUAAAGCUCUUUUACCCGGGAUGAUAAUGACAGUACCGGGAGAAUAAGCUCCGGCUAACUCCGUG
rnacentral:rRNA from 1 species